UACGUAGGGGGCAAGCGUUGUCCGGAAUCAUUGGGCGUAAAGAGCGCGUAGGCGGCCCUGUAAGUCCGCUGUGAAAGUCAAGGGCUCAACCCUUGGAUGCCGGUGGAUACUGCAGGGCUAGAGUCCGGAAGAGGCGAGUGGAAUUCCUGGUGUAGCGGUGAAAUACGCAGAUAUCAGGAGGAACACCGAUGGCGAAGGCAGCUCGCUGGGACGGUACUGACGCUGAGGCGCGAAAGCGUGGGGAGCAAACAGG
rnacentral:rRNA from 1 species